rnacentral:rRNA from 1 species
AGUGAACGCUGGCGGUAGGCCUAACACAUGCAAGUCGAACGGCAGCACAGUAAGAGCUUGCUCUUACGGGUGGCGAGUGGCGGACGGGUGAGGAAUACAUCGGAAUCUACUUUUUCGUGGGGGAUAACGUAGGGAAACUUACGCUAAUACCGCAUACGACCUACGGGUGAAAGCAGGGGAUCUUCGGACCUUGCGCGAUUGAAUGGGCCGAUGUCGGAUUAGCUAGUUGGCGGGGUAAAGGCCCACCAAGGCGACGAUCCGUAGCUGGUCUGAAAGGAUGAUCAGCCACACUGGAACUGAGACACGGUCCAGACUCCUACGGGAGGCAGCAGUGGGGAAUAUUGGACAAUGGGCGCAAGCCUGAUCCAGCCAUACCGCGUGGGUGAAGAAGGCCUUCGGGUUGUAAAGCCCUUUUGUUGGGAAAGAAAAGCAGCAGGUUAAUACCCCGCUGUUCUGACGGUACCCAAAGAAUAAGCACCGGCUAACUUCGUG